GACGAACGCUGGCGGCGUGCCUAAUACAUGCAAGUAGAACGCUGAAGGAGGAGCUUGCUUCUCUGGAUGAGUUGCGAACGGGUGAGUAACGCGUAGGUAACCUGCCUGGUAGCGGGGGAUAACUAUUGGAAACGAUAGCUAAUACCGCAUAAUAGUAGAUGUCGCAUGACAUUUGCUUAAAAGGUGCAAUUGCAUCACUACCAGAUAGACCUGCGUUGUAUUAGCUAGUUGGUGAGGUAACGGCUCACCAAGGCAACGAUACAUAGCCGACCUGAGAGGGUGAUCGGCCACACUGGGACUGAGACACGGCCCAGACUCCUACGGGAGGCAGCAGUAGGGAAUCUUCGGCAAUGGACGGAAGUCUGACCGAGCAACGCCGCGUGAGUGAAGAAGGUUUUCGGAUCGUAAAGCUCUGUUGUAAGAGAAGAACGAGUGUGAGAGUGGAAAGUUCACACUGUGACGGUAUCUUACCAGAAAGGGACGGCUAACUACGUG
rnacentral:rRNA from 1 species